GUGCCAGCCGCCGCGGUAAUACGUAGGGACCAAGCGUUGUUCGGAUUUACUGGGCGUAAAGGGCACGUAGGCGGCUUGACAAGUCACUUGUGAAAUCUCUGGGCUUAACCCAGAACGGCCAAGUGAAACUGUCAUGCUAGAGUGCAGAAGGGGCAAUCGGAAUUCUUGGUGUAGCGGUGAAAUGCGUAGAUAUCAAGAGGAACACCUGAGGUGAAGACGGGUUGCUGGGCUGACACUGACGCUGAGGCGCGAAAGCCAGGGGAGCAAACGGGAUUAGAUACCCCGGUAGUCCUGGCCCUAAACGAUGAAUACUUGGUGUCUGGAGUCAUUAUUGCUCCGGGCGCCGUCGCUAACGUUUUAAGUAUUCCGCCUGGGGAGUACGCACGCAAGUGUGAAACUCAAAGGAAUUGACAGGGACCCGCACAAGCGGUGGAGCAUGUGGUUUAAUUCGACGCAACGCGAAGAACCUUACCUGGACUAGAAUGUGAGGGAAGGGCGCCUAAUAGCGUCCGUCUGAGAAAUCAGACCCAAAACAAGGUGCUGCAUGGCUGUCGUCAGCUCGUGUCGUGAGAUGUUGGGUUAAGUCCCGCAACGAGCGCAACCCUUAUCAACAGUUGCCAUCAUUAAGUUGGGAACUCUGUUGAGACUGCCGUUGAUAAAACGGAGGAAGGUGGGGAUGAUGUCAAGUCAUCAUGGCCUUUAUGUUCAGGGCUACACACGUGCUACAAUGGAUGGUACAAAACGUCGCAAUCCCGUAAGGGGGAGCUAAUCGCAAAAACCAUUCUCAGUUCGGAUUGAAGUCUGCAACUCGACUUCAUGAAGUUGGAAUCGCUAGUAAUCGCGGAUCAGAACGCCGCGGUGAAUACGUUCCCGGGUCUUGUACACACCGCCCGUC
rnacentral:rRNA from 1 species